rnacentral:rRNA from 1 species
UGUGGUUAUAAUAGCAAAGAGGAUACACCUGUUCCCAUUCCGAACACAGAAGUUAAGCUCUCUAGCGCUGAUGGUACUUGGUGGGAAACUGCCUGGGAGAGUA